CCUGAGCCCAGACAUCCCAGUCCCUGGCCACCUACCCAUCCCGUGCCUUGGCCCUGUUCCCACCACAGGGCUUUUGCACAUGCUGUUCCCCCAGUCCAGAAGUCCUCUCCCUCUUCCUUGCUCCAUCUGAUUUUCCUUCUCCUCGGGGAGGGCCUCCCCACACCCUAACUAGGUGAGGUUUUCUCUCUAAGACUCCCAAACCACAGCCUGGUGCAUCUGUCGUUUAAGACACUCCUCAGGGGCCAUUUUACAUUUAGGUCUGGGAUUAUCUGAGAAACCUUGAGCCUCUUGAAGGUAGAAACCAAGUGUAUUGAGCUCUGCACUGUCCCCCACCUCUUCUCCCAGGAAUGAAGCAUGGUCACCACGUCAUGAAUAUUGUUAGACAAAAGCAAUGGCAGCAUCUUUUGGAGAGUAACCAAGCGCAAUUCCUUCUCUUUAUGUGGAUUUCCUCAUUUAAUCUUUGCCACAACCCUUGGAGGUAGCCAAUAUUAUCAUCCCCAUUUUACAGAUGAAGAAGGCGAGGCUCAGGAGGCCUUUUCCUAGAUGAGAGAGGCGGACAAGGCAAGGGAUUACUUCCCUAUCACACAGGCGAGAAAACCAAGGGCCAAAGAGAGUAAGAGGGUGCCCACAUCAUUGGCAAAUUAGCCAUGGGGUGACCUGGGCCCCAGGCAUUGCUCAGCAGCUUCCUUUUUUCUCAGCCUGGGAACGCUGGGUCAGCUUUGGCCCUUCCAUCUCCAGAGGCAGAUGACCACAGUGGUUCUGAUGGGCCCCCAUCCAGGCCAUGGGACCCCCUCUGAGUCUCCCUCUACUUUCCCACAAUGUCCUGUCAAACCGGCCCAGGUAGCUGUCUUCAGCCUCCAGAUGCUCAAGCUCUCCUAUGAGAGGAAGAGUAUCAUGGUUCCACCAUGAUUGUAUAAGUCCCCUCCCGACACCCAGGCAGGCAACUUUUUGUGGCUUUCACUUCAGGAAAGUUGAGGUGGGUGCGUAGAGGUAGAGGGAGGCGGGGAGGCUGGAGGGUGGGAAUUCCACCCACACAGAUGGGCCUCUGAAACCUCCAAGUUCUUCUCACUGCCCCUGCUGUGACUGGUUGUGUUUCUAAAACAUGGCUGUCCUCUUGAUCAUCAAAAUCGUGCAAGUUAUGGAUGGGGUACCCCUGGCAGGGGGUGGGAGGGGAGUUGACAGUUUUAGUAAUAUUAGAUUUCUUAAGCUGAGUGGAAGGGCAGGGGUGUUUGUAACACAGAUCCCCAAACCACUGCCCGUCUCUAUCAGGGCCACAUGGCUUUCCAAAUCCAGAAUUCUGUGGAUUUUAGAAGGUAGUACAGGGUGCGUGCACACUAGGUACGUUACAGGACACGCCCGUGGGAUCACGGUGAUGCCCUGCAGUCAAGCCCACUGAUAUUUCUCGGCAUAUGAAUGAUCACAUGAAGCAAGAUAAGUACUGUGUUAAUAUUAUUAACAGCCUUCCAUCCAAGCGGUCACGUUUGCUGACAAAAUGUAAAAAAAUCUUGCAGCCUUCAGAGCUUGUUUGAUUUUGUCUUGCAAAUGGGAUUGACAGUCUUAGUGGUGGCAAGUGAGAUCUGUGAUCUUCACUGCAGCGUGAAGGAGUUUUAGUUGCGGCAAGCAUUGUCUGGUGCCCUGACCAGGGAUUGAACCCAGGCCCUCUCCAUUCGGAGCACAGAGUCUUAGCCACUGGACCACCAGGGAAGUCCCUUCAAUAUCUCUUCAUGCGUGAAAAUGACAGCCAACUGUAAUGUAGGCACAUGGUGGAAAACAGAGAAAAGCAUAAAGAAACAAACUCACCCUGCUCAUUCACGGCCAUCACCCAUUUGCCAUAACUAAGAGAUCAAUGUGGGUUCGUUGCUAUUAACCACAUUCCAGACUUUGAAUUUCACAAGUUUUUUCACUGAUAUACUUUUUCUGUCCUAGGACCCAAUCCAGGUUAGCACAUUGCCUUUAGGUUUUUUUAAAAAAUCUUAAAAAAAUUUAUAUUAUUUAGUUUUUUUUUUAAUCUGAAAAGUUCAGAGUCCUCUAACAACCAGCUAUAAACCCCGUCUCCCGGAGUGCCCUUCUUCUUUCCUCCUCCCCUGCCUUUUCUCGGAGCCCCCUCUUAUUUCUGGUUCCUGAGGACUUCCCUUCUUGCAUUUGAGUCUAACUAUGGACAUCAUGCUUUUUAGGAAACUGUUAACCAAGACUUGGGCGUGCUGGAGUGCUUCCAGAAAUCAGUUUGAAGCAGCUCUUCAGGGGCAGAGAGAGUGCCAAGCAGAUGUGUCCUGGCCAGGGAAGAGCAGUUCCAGGACCAGGGUGGGAGUGGGGGUGGGGGGCAGCCUGCAGGGGGAGGAAUCCCAGGGUGGCUGAGGGAGGGGUUGUUUUCUGGGAGGUGGGUAAAGGACUUGCAAAUCAGGCCAGGAGUUAGGUCGAGAUCACGUCAAGGAGACUUAAAGGCCCGAAGAAAGGAGUAGCAGCACAUAGACGGCUUUGGCGUGGGGUGUGGAAGGACGUUCCUUGGUUUGCCACUGGUGCAGAACGGCUGGACUGGGGAGGCGUCAGCCUGAACCUGUGUUAAAGUGAUAAGAGGAGUGGCCCUCAAGCGUCCUUCAUUGCACACAGGGAGCUCCAGAGGCCGAGAACCAGGAUGCUUGUUCAAGGUCACGGGUCACAUUCACAUCAGAGUCCGUGACUGUGGCCCCAGCAUUUUUAUGUAAGUAUGGAUGGGUUUCCAACAACAGCUGUUUCGUUCUUACUCUGGGCCAGGCCCACAUAGCUCCUGACUUCAUGAAUCAUAAAGCUUAGAGGGCAUGGACAGUGAUAGAUAAUACCUAACUAGCCAAACAAAAGACUAUGUAACCACUCAUUGUGCCUGGAGCUAUGAAUUAAAGCCAGGUGGUCAGAGAAGGGGCUUAUACAACUCAUAACCCCAAAUUAGGAGGCUAUUUGAAAGUUAUCUAGUGCUCUGGGUCUUGGACUUUGGCCUACAUCAGAAUUACCUGCAGGGGUGGUUAAAACAGAUUCCUGGCUCAGGCUCAGUUUCUACCUUGGUGGGCCGAGCGUGGUGCCUAGGGUCUGCAUCUCCAACAAGCUCUCUCCCAGGUGGUGCCAAUGCUGCUGGUUGAGGGGCCACGCUUGGUCUCCGGAGUAUAAAAAUGCAGUUAGAUCCAUGGCUAGCAGAUGACGUAUCACUUGGCUUUGCCGAUGGUUUCAUUUCAGAGGUGGAGGAAGUGAGCCAUGCGGGGAAGUCCUGAUACCCGUUCAAACCUGAAAGAAGCUGUUGAGAAUGUGGAUAAGUGAGAAUUCAGGAGAGGAAGAGCCACGUGAUCCCCCAGCUGCAGGCGGAUUCUAUACCACUGAGCAACCAGGAAAGCCCUGCAUCUCUUUUUGACUUCAGGAUUAAACUGACUUUUUUCCACAUUGACCAAUUUGUGCUGGGUCUUCGCUGCCAUGUGCCGGCUCUCUAGUUGCAGUGAGCCGGGGCUACUCUCCAGCUGCGGUGCUCGGACUUCUCACUGUGGUGGCUUCUCUUGUGGAGGGGCUCUAGAGUGCUGGCCCAGCAGCUGUGGCACUCAGGCUUUGGUUGCCCGCGGCAUGUGAGACCUUCCUGGACCAGGGAUCAAACCUGCGUCCCCUGCAUUGGCAGGCGGAUUCUAAUCCCCUGGACCACCAGGGAAGUCCACACAGGCCUUGCAGUGGCACUUCAAGUGGCAGCAAGAGCCCUGGGCUGGGAGGCUGAGGCUUGGUUCCUGCCCAGCCCUGGGCCUCAUUUUCCCCUCCUGUAAAAUGAGAGGGUUAGACCUGAUGAUCCCCAAGUUCCCUUUUGAUGCUGACCUUGUAAGAUAUUUGUCCACAUGACAUGACUCUAAUGGCGGAAUCUCAGGCACCAUUACUGGGGUGAGCAGGAGGUAUUUUGGAGAAGGCCCUGCCUAGCGCGUUCUGCUGCCUUCCCCACAGGACAAGUUGAGCUGGCCCUGCAGUCUUUUUGAAUAUCUGCCUGUGCAUAUGGCUUUGGUAGAGAGGAAGGGAGCAGGAGCUAGAAUUACCCUGGCUGGGUUUCCCAGCCUCCUCCUUGGUCAGCAGAGAGCAUCUCUCAGACAAUCUCUCUUCUCUCCGCCUUUGACCCCCUUCCCCAGCUACCAGCAGAAGUCCCAUUUCCUGACCUGCUUCCUGCAUGAGCUGUCACUCAUUUCUGUCCCAUGUGGUUCCAGCGUUGGGCAGGAAAUACGGGACUGUGGGGGCUUCAGAUUCAGACGACAGCAGGGAGGGUAAGGGGAUGGCACCAAGGUCCAGUUUCUCAUGGAAGAGGGGGAGGGUGGAGCCUCUAAAAAGCAAAUCAGACUUUAACAUGGAAGAGAAACUCUGAUGAGCCUCAGCCAGACCACUUUAUGAUGCUCAAAGCAUAUGUCUUCUUCCCACCUCAGGCUAGAAUACAAGAGGUUUCUUUCUGCCAUCUCAGUCUUGGGAGGUACCAGGCUCCUGAGAAGCUGUGUGAAGAAAAUCCCUCACUGCCACAUUGGCCAAAUGGAAUGGGGAAAUGGCACAGGAAGACACUGGCAUGUGCAAAGUCCCUGGGGUAGAAGGGAACACGAAAGAGUCAAGAACCUGAAAGGAGGUCGAUGUAGCAGGGAGGAGAGGGAGAGAGGGGAGGCCUGGGUCCACGCUGUGAAGGUGCAGAGGGGGCCUGGCCUUUACUUUGAUGAGCAGGAGAGAUGGCCAGGGGCAAGGGCCAGAGUGGAACUUGGCAGAGGGACACUACUUAGAGUUUAGGAAGACUUGAGGGGACAGCACCAUCUUCUGAGCCAGGUUCUUUCCUCCUCUCUCCCCUCCAAAUGCUCUCUUGGGCCUGUUUCUCUUCUCUUGGGGUCCAAAGCAAGGUCUGACCCAGGAAGCUGACCAGGAGCGCUCAUGCAGGCUGGCAGGCAGGGCUCCUGGCAGAGGAGUCAAUGUGGUCUCACCAGUUCCCAAGUCCUGAGUCCAACAUGGAAAUUACAGGCCUUGGGAUGUAAGCCUCUGUGGGUAGUGACACCAGCUGGGAGACUCACUGUACCCGAGACAGCACCCCCGAGGGGGUUGGGAAGCCCAGGCCCCCACAUUGAUGCCCCAAGGACAGUAUGAGGAUAACCAGGCAGCUCCUUCCCCAAAACAGAAACUUUCACCAUCACAAGUGCCAGAGAGCUUGCUUGGAGCUCUGCCUCAUGUGGACCACAGCCCAGCCAGAAGCCCACAAGGCCCCGGGGCUCAUUUCUACUCCAGGAAAGUGCAGCCCCUCAGCUUCUUUCACCAUCCCGGGAGAGCAUCUCUGCACAAGAGAUGCAGUUAGCAUCUCAUCACUGUGGUUAGCAGGACAUGUGGAGUCCCAGAGCUUGCCAGAACAGCACCAACCUGCUGGACACCUCUCCUAACUCCUGCCCCUUCCCUCCAAGCCCAGAGACUCAGACCUAGGCUUACAUCAAAAGACUGGGAAGUCCCCCAGCACAGCUGGGGGCAUCUGCUGCUUCCUCCAGGGAGGAAACAAGGGCUGCCCAAGGCCAGGUCCUGUGGACGCACAUCCUGCCACCUGGGCUGCUGACCCAGGAGAGGUUAGGGCCCUUGUGUGGGACCAGCCUUGGGCAAUGGGGAAUGCAGGGGGAAGGCUUGGUCUUCAAAUCUACAUCCAAAUACCAGUAUCUUGAAAUAGUAGUUUGGAGUUCCUCUGCCUCGGUUCCCUCAUCUGUUAAAUGGGAUGAUGAUAAUACUUUCCACACAGUGGUCUGGUAAGGACUGAGUUCGUUUGGAGGGACUAACAUGGUGGCCAAGAGCAGGGGUUCUGGAGUGCCCCUGCUUGGGUCCAAACCCCAGCUUCUUCGCUGCUAGCUGUGUAAUCUCGACAUGUUACCUCCCUGUUUCCUCACUUGUAAAAAUGGAGAUUAAAAGGCUGCCAUGAGGAUUAAAGGGGCAAGCAUAAGUACUUAGAGUAGGUACCAGUGCUCACAAAUGUCAGGUAUUGGUUUUACUCCAUGGAAACGGUACUUGGCACACAAGCUAAAUGGUACUUGCCCAGUAAAUGUAGGCUCCACCCUCUGGUCCCCUUGAUUGUUACGUCUUGUGUUUCCUACCCCCAAAUUCAAACACACAAGAUUCCCUUUGAUCUCCCAUCUGUAAAAUGUUAUUACCUUGUUCAUACUCAAGUGUAAAUGACUGGUAGUCAUUUAAUUUAUACCAGAGGAGCAGUCAAAAAUUCAGCCAAAAGAACGAUGUGCUGAUGGUGGAUUCUCAGGCCACCAGCCAGGCUGAGGGUAGGGGGCACUUGGGAAGGUAGCUCUCCCAGAGUCCUUCAGUGAUAACCUUAUCAGCCGGCCAGGUACCUCGAGGGUAGAAAGGAUAUCAGGCCCAAGACCCAGCUCUGCUUCUAAGUGCUGUGUGACUUUCAGCAACUCACUGACCUCUCUGAAUUUCAGCUUCCUCAUCUGCUUAACGGGAUUACUUUUCUGCCUUUCUCAAGGGGCUGUUUGAAAUUAAAUGCACCUGAAAAUGGUCUGCAUUUGUCUCUCCAGAUUGUGGUUAUCUGUCCAUGCGUCCGUCCACUCUCCCCAGCCUGGGCAGGGAGGAGGUGUUCUGUGAACACGAGUGGUACUGAAGUGCACAUCCUGAUCUUGGGACAUAACCCCAUCCAUGCAUCCAGUCACAGCCCACAUGCACUUUCUCUUCCAUCUCCCAUCAUGCCCUGCAGUGACCCGGCGAAGCUGGGAAUACCCCAUUUAGCAGAGGAGGAAACUGAGGCCUGGGGAGGACAGGGCAUUUGCCUGAGGCCACAUAGCUAGAAGUGGUGGGCCUGGGAAUCAGCCACAAGCACUUGACUGCCAAAUCUCUGCCAUC
ensembl:lncRNA